CAUCCUUCUACUGUUAACUCCUCGUGUGUGUUUAGUUUAUUGACCUUCCCUCUGCCGGAUCUGACUUCCUGUGAACCAAACCUAUAACAAAAGAUGGACCUUACCCGUUUGGAAUAAUCAAUUGCGAUUGCUUCUCCGGACCAGAGUGAUGAAAGAAGAGAACUCCUCAGAAUCUCCCUGGAGAGAGAGAAAGAAAGAAAGAGAGAGAGCGAGGACAAAGAAAGUGGAGCACGGCUGCCUUGGUGGUGAAGAACAGCUGAGCGCAGACUUCAUCUUUGCGAGCCCUGCAUCAAGCAAGAUCAAGACGGGCAGAGUGAAAGCAUGAGGGCUCACUCUGGAGACUCUGCUGUGUCUAAUGUGCAGUGGACCAUGAGACUGCUCUCACCACCUCAGUCACACCCUGCUGUUCUUCUCAGAAUCCCAGAUGGAGCCUUGAAAGUGUUGUGUUAUCUGUGAAUAGCAUUGUUCUCAUCCUCUGAGGGAUAAACAAACCAGAAAACCAUUUCAGAAGAAUCCGCUCCUGAGUAUUACGAAGCUGCCAGUGCUUUGGAUACUGUCCGCGCUGGCCCCUUUAGUUUUUUACCGAGCACAUAUCUACUUUUAGACUUCAACAGCAUAAUGGUGUUUGCUUAACUGAGCAGCCAGCAAUCACUCUCCUCUCUGCCAGUGUCAUAUCACUGAUCAAGUGUGGCUCAGUUCCUGUCGGAGAGGACGGCUGCCAGACAUAAUGCAAUAAUAACUGGUGCACAGCUUGUCUAAGAGAACCAUGGUCCUAUUCCACUGCUGACGAUACUGGGAUGAACUCUUUGUGCUUUUUCUCUCCUUCUCCCUUUUUCCACCAGCUCUGACGCUCCGGAGAGCAUAAUGAGACAAUUGUAAUUUCCUGCCUCUUGCUUAAAAUCGUAGAACAUCUGAAAUAUAUACAGAAGACGAUUCUACUUCAAAUCAAAUAAAAUCAGGCUUA